rnacentral:rRNA from 1 species
AUUAAAGAGUUGCAAAACUCCUACAAACCAUCGCGAACCGUACCGAUUCAMCGUUGCUUCGGCGGGUUCGCCCGCCGAAGUAGCGACACCCAAACUCUUUAUAAUUAUUGGCCUCUCUGAGUAAGAUUUAUAAAUAAGUCAAAACUUUCAACAACGGAUCUCUUGGUUCUGGCAUCGAUGAAGAACGCAGCGAAAUGCGAUAAGUAAUGUGAAUUGCAGAAUUCAGUGAAUCAUCGAAUCUUUGAACGCACAUUGCGCCCGCUAGUAUUCUGGCGGGCAUGCCUGUUCGAGCGUCAUUUCAACCAUCAAGCCCUCUCGCUUGUGUUGGGGUCCUGCGGCUGCCCGCAGGCCCUGAAAACCAGUGGCGGGCUCGCUAGUCACUCCGAGCGCAGUAAUACAUUCUCGCUCAGGGCGUGCGGCGGGUUCUUGCCGUUAAACCACCACUUUUAUACCAAAGGUUGACCUCGGAUCAGGUAGGAAUACCCGCUGAACUUAAGCAUAUCAAUAAGCGGAGGAAAAGAAACCAACAGGGAUUGCCCCAGUAACGGCGAGUGAAGCGGCAACAGCUCAAAUUUGAAAUCUGGCUUCGGCCCGAGUUGUAAUUUGUAGAGGAAGCUUUUGGCGAGGUGCCUUCUGAGUCCCCUGGAACGGGGCGCCAUAGAGGGUGAGAGCCCCGUAUAGUUGGACACCUAGCCUCUGUAAAGCUCCUUCGACGAGUCGAGUAGUUUGGGAAUGCUGCUCAAAAUGGGAGGUAAAUUUCUUCUAAAGCUAAAUAUUGGCCAGAGACCGAUAGCGCACAAGUAGAGUGAUCGAAAGAUGAAAAGCACUUUGAAAAGAGGGUUAAACAGCACGUGAAAUUGUUGAAAGGGAAGCGCUUGUGACCAGACAUGCGCCGGGCGGAUCAUCCGGUGUUCUCACCGGUGCACUCCGCCCGGCUCAGGCCAGCAUCGGUUCUCGCGGGGGGAUAAAGGCCUGGGGAACGUAGCUCCUCCGGGAGUGUUAUAGCCCUGGGCGCAACGCCCUCGCGGGGACCGAGG